rnacentral:rRNA from 1 species
UACGUAGGGUGCGAGCGUUGUCCGGAAUUAUUGGGCGUAAAGGGCUCGUAGGCGGUUUGUCGCGUCGGGAGUGAAAUCCACUGGCUUAACUGGUGGCUUGCUUUCGAUACGGACAGACUGGAGGUAUGCAGGGGAGAACGGAAUUCCUGGUGUAGCGGUGAAAUGCGCAGAUAUCAGGAGGAACACCGGUGGCGAAGGCGGUUCUCUGGGCCGAUAUUGACGCUGAGGAGCGAAAGCGUGGGGAGCGAACAGG